UUAAAAGGAUGGCGAAAGGGGGCGGGUAGGGUGAUGGAUAGGAGGAGACCGGUGUCUUUUGAGCUAUUGGUUCAGAUGGGUGAGAAGUUGAGCGUGGUGUGUAGCUCAGGAUGGGAGCUGGGGUUGUUUAGGGCGGCAUUUGCGUUAGCAUUUUUUGGGGCUUUCAGAUUGGGUGAG